CGCGCAAAUGCAAUUCAUUUAUUUGUAAGAGAAGUCAAAACGUGUCGGCAAUCAAAUUAUAUAGAUGAUGAUUCCAACAUUCCAAUGGCCGGCCGGAGCUAUUGUCAAAAGGACAGAGAAAUUCAAGAACAGACCAAUAUAGAGGAAGUAAAGAACAAGAGUUUUGAGCUUUUCACUCAACUUGGUGGAUCCCGUACAACUUGCCAAAAUGGCGAAGGGAUUAAUAGUACUUUCUUCAGAUUUGGUGGUGCUCUUUAUUAUCUUCGGAGAGGAGAUUUCCCAUGUUUAGUCGGAAGAAAUGAGAAGAGGGGAGAGGCAUGGAAAGGAGAGAGAGGAACACAAAAUGAAGAAAAAAGAAAGUCAAAUUCAAUUUCCUUAUUUGGUUCUUAUAUAUGAAAUUCUUUUUCUUUUUCUUUUUUUGUAUUGGGGUGUUACACCCUCCUUUGGUCUUGCCCUAACUUUGGCCAGGCACGUUUAUGUACCAAAAAAAAUAAAAUUCAUUUUUUU
rnacentral:lncRNA from 1 species